rnacentral:rRNA from 1 species
UUGAUAAUGCUGGGAUGUGAUGGGGAGCGAAAUUUAGUAGCGAAGUAGCUGAUUUCACACUGUCAAGAAAAGUCUCUAUCGAGGUUAAAGGUACCCGUACCGCAAACCGACACAGGUGGGUGAGGAGAGUAUCCUAAGGCCAGCGAGAGAACUGUUGUUAAGGAACUCGGCAAAAUGACCCCGUAACUUAGGGAUAAGGGGUGCCACCAUCAGGUGGCCGCAGAGAAUAGGCCCAAGCGACUGUUUACCAAAAACAUAGGUUUCUGCUAAGUCGCAAGACGAUGUAUAGGAGCUGACGCCUGCCCGGUGCUGGAAGGUUAAGGGGAUCUGUUAGAGCAAUCGAAGCAGUGAACUUAAGCCCCAGUAAACGGCGGCCGUAACUAUAACGGUCCUAAGGUAGCGAAAUUCCUUGUCGGGUAAGUUCCGACCCGCACGAAAGGCGUAACGAUUUGGGCACUGUCUCAACAACAGACUCGGUGAAAUUGUAAUUCCGGUGAAGAUGCCGGAUACCUGCGACAGGACGGAAAGACCCCAUGGAGCUUUACUGUAGCUUGACAUUGGGUCUUGGUACUACAUGUACAGGAUAGGUGGGAGGCUUUGAAACCAGGACGCCAGUUUUGGCGGAGCCAUCCUUGGGAUACCACCCUUGUAGUACUGGGACUCUAACCAUAGGCCAUGAAUCUGGUCUUGGGACACUGUCAGGUGGGCAGUUUGACUGGGGCGGUCGCCUCCCAAAAGGUAACGGAGGCGCUCAAAGGUUCUCUCAGUACGGUCGGAAAUCGUACGUAGAGUGUAAAGGCAAAAGAGAGCUUGAUUGCAAGACAUACAGGUCGAGCAAGGAUGAAAAUCGGACUUAGUGAUCCGGUGGUUCUGCGUGGAAGGGCCAUCGCUCAACGGAUAAAAGCUACCCUGGGGAUAACAGGCUUAUCUCCCCCAAGAGUCCACAUCGACGGGGAGGUUUGGCACCUCGAUGUCGGCUCAUCACAUCCUGGGGCUGUAGUAGGUCCCAAGGGUUGGGCUGUUCGCCCAUUAAAGUGGUACGCGAGCUGGGUUCAGAACGUCGUGAGACAGUUCGGUCCCUAUCCGUCGCAGGCGUAGGAAAUUUGAGAAGACCUGUCCUUAGUACGAGAGGACCGGGAUGGACG